AACGAACGCUGGCGGCAUGCCUAACACAUGCAAGUCGAACGAGACCUUCGGGUCUAGUGGCGCACGGGUGCGUAACGCGUGGGAACCUGCCCUUAGGUUCGGAAUAACUCCCCGAAAGGGGUGCUAAUACCGGAUAAUGUCUUCGGACCAAAGAUUUAUCGCCUUUGGAUGGGCCCGCGUUGGAUUAGCUAGUUGGUAGGGUAAAAGCCUACCAAGGCGACGAUCCAUAGCUGGUCUGAGAGGAUGAUCAGCCACACUGGGACUGAGACACGGCCCAGACUCCUACGGGAGGCAGGAGUGGGGAAUAUUGGACAACGGGCGAAAGCAUGAUCCAGCAAGGCCGCGUGAGUGAUGAAGGCCUUAGGGUUGUAAAGCUCUUUUACCCGGGAUGAUAAUGACAGUACCGGGAGAAUAAGCUCCGGCUAACUCCGUG
rnacentral:rRNA from 1 species